AAUGGGAAGCUCCCCGCUGUGAUCGCCCGGGCGCCUGUGGUGGAGGCAGCAGUGGCCUAGUCCAGACUCGCGCGGACCCCAUCGGCUACUUCUGCGAAGUGCAGGAAGGUUCUCCAGGGACUGGGACCAGAAGGGGCUGAGCGCGCGGUUAAUGUGUAAGGCUGCUGAAUGACACUCGUUAACUCAGGAGCAGCGGCCUUGAAUUCCUCUGUUUCCUCAUUUUAUAAAUGAGGAUAACAAUACCCAUCUUUACUACGUUGAAGAAUUGUACCGCUAAAAGGAAAUAGUGUAUGCAAAGGUGCUUUUUAAAGUAUAAAGCUCACUAGACUUUAAAAUAUUCUUAUUAUAAGAGAAGGCAGUCGAGCAAGAGCAGUUAAGAGCAUGGACUUUGGAGUCAGGGAAACCUAGGUUCAAGUCUGAUCCUGGAUGUUGGACAGUCAAUUCUGCUUGACGCUUGGGCGAACUGGAGGUCCACUGAGGUGUGGGGAUUUGGAGAGAGUGACUGGAAAGGACGUAAUUCCAGUCAAAGGAAGCUUCAUGAGUAAAGGUAUGGAAGUGAAAAUAGGAAGAACAAAGCUUGAGGCAGAGAGAUCAGUUAUGAGGCCAUUGCUGUACCCCAGGUGAUGUGAAUUACAUAACUGGCUGUUUUCUCCUUUCACUCUGACUGCCAAGAAGCUCUGAGAAAUUUGUGGCUCAGCCUUAGUAACUGGAAGGACCCUUGGCCUGCAUAUCUGUAUUCUGUUGGUUUGAAAUUUUUCAAAAUAAAAACCUGGGGGAAAACA